rnacentral:rRNA from 1 species
CCCUUAGAUGUUCUGGGCUGCACGCGUGCUACACUGAUAUUGCAAAUAUGUCAUUCUUAUCCGAAAUGGAUUGGGUAAUCAAGUAAUGAAAUUUCAUGCUUGGAAUCGGUAAUUGCAAUUUUAUCGUGAACGAGGAAUUCCUAGUAAGCACUAGUCAUCAGCUAAUGUUGAUUAUGUCCCUGCCCUUUGUACACACCGCCCGUCGCUACUACUGAUUGGGUGUUCAAGUGAGAUGCUUAGACCCUUGUUGCAUGGUUCAUUAUUGUGCUCCGAAAGGAAAAAGUUUCAAGCUUGAGUGUCUAGAGGAAGUAAAAGUCGUAACA